UGGAAGCAAAGGCAAGAAAGACAACACACAGAAUCUAUCAUCUACUUGCCUCCCUUUGCUUCACUCACACAACUCCAACCCAAUUUUACUCUAUAAAGAUAAGAGACACACUCAGAGAUUCAGAACACCCACACCCUUUUUAACUCAUUAUUUCCCACUUUACCCUUCUCAGUUCUUCUUCUAUCUCUCUCUCAAACAUAAUAUUCAUACCCACUGCAGGUAGAUUGAAUGUUGUGACAAACAAUGGGUUCAUCCAAUGCCUCAUGCAGUGUUUCUCUGCUCCAAUUGUUCAUAGUGGUUUGCCUUGUCUUCCAAUGCUUUGCUGCUGAAGUACAUGCUGACCUGAACGCAACUCUAGUCGUAGAUGCUUCUGAUACAUCUGGAAGGCUAAUACCGGAGACACUUUUUGGCAUAUUCUUUGAGGAGAUCAAUCAUGCUGGAACUGGGGGAUUGUGGGCUGAGCUUGUGAGCAACAGAGGAUUUGAAGCUGGGGGCCCUAACACUCCUUCAAAUAUUGAUCCGUGGUCAAUUAUUGGAAAUGAAUCAACUAUAAAUGUCGAAACUGAUCGUACCUCUUGCUUUGACCGUAAUAAGGUUGCACUUCGUUUGGAGGUGUUAUGUGACAGCAAUGGUGACAAGAUUUGCCCAGCUGAUGGUGUUGGUGUGUACAACCCUGGUUUUUGGGGCAUGAAUAUUGAGCAAGGGAAGCAAUACAAAGUGAUCUUCUAUGUUCGUUCAACUGGACCACUUAAUCUAACAAUUUUAUUGACUGGAUCAAAUGGUGUGGGAAACUUAGCUUCAACUGUGAUCACGGGUUCUGCUUCUGAUUUUUCAAACUGGACCAAGGUGGAGACUUUAUUGGAGGCCAAGGCAACAAAUCACAAUUCAAGACUUCAAUUAACAACAACUACCAAAGGUGUGAUAUGGUUGGACCAAGUGUCUGCUAUGCCAAUGGACACAUAUAAGGGACAUGGUUUCCGAAGCGAACUGGUUGAAAUGCUGGCAGCUUUGAGGCCAAGAUUUAUCAGAUUUCCGGGUGGUUGUUUUGUUGAAGGAGAAUGGUUAAGAAAUGCAUUUCGUUGGAAAGCAUCUGUUGGACCAUGGGAGGAGAGACCUGGGCACUUUGGUGAUGUUUGGAUGUACUGGACUGAUGAUGGACUUGGCUAUUUUGAGUUUCUCCAACUAGCAGAGGACUUGGAUGCAGCACCAAUAUGGGUAUUUAAUAAUGGUGUCAGCCAUAAUGAUCAAGUUGAUACAUCUGCUGUCUUACCUUUGGUGCAAGAAGCCCUUGAUGGAAUUGAGUUUGCAAGAGGUGAUUCAACUUCAAAAUGGGGUUCCCUUAGAGCUGCCAUGGGACACCCAGAGCCAUUUGACCUAAAAUAUGUUGCCGUUGGAAAUGAAGAUUGUGGAAAAAAGAAUUAUCGAGGAAACUACCUGAAAUUCUAUAGUGCCAUAAGAAGUGCUUAUCCAGAUAUCCAAAUUAUCUCAAAUUGUGAUGGGUCUUCUCGACCUUUAGAUCAUCCAGCUGAUAUAUAUGAUUAUCAUGUUUAUACAAGUGCAAAUGACAUGUUUUCUAGGGCUAACACAUUUGAUCGUGCAUCACGAAGCGGUCCAAAGGCUUUUGUAAGUGAGUAUGCUGUGACUGGGAAAGAUGCUGGAACGGGAAGCCUUUUGGCAGCCCUAGCUGAAGCUGGUUUCCUUAUUGGACUGGAAAAGAACAGGUUUACUGGGGCCUAUGAAAUUUUCAUUAAAUAUUUUACACAGGGCCAGGUUUGGAAUUUUGUACUGUUCCCCAAACCAAAAAUGCAAACAUAUGCAACAGAUUUUUUUAUAAUUUAUGGGGAAGUUACCCUUCUAACUGAGCUUUGGGCAAGGCCAAAAACAAGUCCCAACAGGCUACAUAUGAACUUAAGUAAAUCAGGUCUGUCAUGAAUGUUGUCAAGCAAGCUUGACUUAUCUGUUACACAAGAUUCACUUCAAGUUUUACAGGCAUUUUUUUAAUUCAAAGGAUCUUACUCUAGUGCUGUCAAUUAUUUGAGCUAGUGUGUAAAUCUUGCAAAUCAAUUUAUUUCCAUGAGGCAAGCCUUGGAAGUUGGCCCAAUGAUAAGGUUACUUCCUUGUGACUUGGAGUCAUGAGUUUAAAUCCUCCAAAUAGCCUUCCGUUUGCACAGAUAAGGUUACGGACAUCUACCCUUCCCAGACCCCCACUAGUGAUGUUGUCAAAAUGGUUAGCUAUGCUCCACUUUUCGUAAAUGCCAAUGAUCGGAGGUGGAACCCAGAUGCUAUUGUAUUCAAUUCCUUUCAGCUCUACGGAACUCCUAGCUAUUGGGUGCAGCUAUUUUUCUCGGAGUCAAGUGGAGCAACACUUCUAAAUACAUCACUUCAAGCAACUUCCUCAAAUUCACUUGUUGCAUCAGCAAUUAGUUGGCAAAAUUCUGUAGAUAAGAAUAAUUACAUACGAAUAAAGGUAAUGGGGACAACUUUGCAUAAAACUUAAGUGUAAACCAUUAUGCUUUUUUGGUGUUGUGUAAAAUUAAGCAUAAAAAUCGUCAUCAAAAUUAUUAUUCAACUGGAAAUUAAUAUAAAGAAUCCAAAUUUAAACCUAAGAAUUGAAGUGUAGGAUAUAGCUUCUCAUCACAUUUAGCAUGAAUAAAUUAAUUUCUUGAGACACAUUUUGUUUUCCCUGUUCUUCAAAAUUCUGAAGUGAAAAAUAUGACUAUGGUUGAUUGAAUUUUCCCUUUUUUAAGUGUAAUUUGCAGCAUUGGGUCCUAUGGGUGGCGUUCUUAGUUGCCUUCUUGAUGCUUUUGCUAGCACUGUCAUCACUCAGUCUGAAGCAAUUGACUUUUUCAGGUUGUGAACUUUGGUGUCAACACUGUGAACCUCAAGAUUUCUUUUGAUGGACUGGAACCAAACUCAUUGCAGUUGUCUGGGUCAACAAAGACUGUGCUUACAUCUUCAAAUGUAAUGGACGAGAAUUCCUUCUCACAGCCAAAGAAGGUGGUGCCAAUCCAGAGUCUACUUCAAAAUGUUGGGAAGGACAUGAAUGUCACUAUCCCACCUCAUUCGUUCACAUCUUUUGAUUUGUUGAAAGAAUCAAGUAAUCUAAAGAUGCCAGGGAGCGAUUCUUCGACGAGGUCUUCUAUUUAAAAUAAUGAGGUAUUAG